AUUAAAUUCUUCAGCUGAAAGCCAAGAACCCAUUUUCAACAAUGCAGUCAAAGCAGGAGCAGCAGCUGAACCAAAUUCAAGGGCAGAAGCUAAUAAAGGAAGCAACUUUUUCAGCACAAUUUGGCGAGGAAGCUGCUCUGCUAAAUUUGGAAGUUUACGGAAGAAGGUAUCCUUCUCAACACUGUCUUUCAACGUAAGAAUUUCCAUGAAAUGUAUGGUGUCCACCAACUUAUUCUGAAAAUAUUCACUAUUUUCUAUAAGCUUUGAUGUAUUCAUCCUGCGAGAGGGCAUAGAACUAAGGAGCCGCUGGUAAUCCUGAAGCAAUGACUUUGGAAU
rnacentral:misc_RNA from 1 species